rnacentral:rRNA from 1 species
CCUACGGGUGGCUGCAGUGGGGAAUAUUGGACAACGGGCGAAAGCCUGAUCCAGCCAUGCCGCGUGUGUGAAGAAGGCCUUCGGGUUGUAAAGCACUUUCAUUGGGGAAGAAAGCCUUGGGGCUAAUACCCUCGAGGAAGGACAUCACCCACAGAAGAAGCACCGGCUAACUCCGUGCCAGCAGCCGCGGUAAUACGGAGGGUGCGAGCGUUAAUCGGAAUUACUGGGCGUAAAGCGCGCGUAGGCGGUCUGAUAAGCCGGUUGUGAAAGCCCCGGGCUCAACCUGGGAACGGCAUCCGGAACUGUCAGGCUAGAGUGCAGGAGAGGAAGGUAGAAUUCCCGGUGUAGCGGUGAAAUGCGUAGAGAUCGGGAGGAACACCAGUGGCGAAGGCGGCCUUCUGGACUGACACUGACGCUGAGGUGCGAAAGCGUGGGUAGCAAACAGGAUUAGAUACCCCAGUAGUC